rnacentral:rRNA from 1 species
GCACAAGCGGUGGAGCGAUGUGGUUUAAUUCGACGCAACGCGAAGAACUUACCAGGGCUUGACAUCCCCUGACCGCGUGUGAAAGUACGUUUUCACCCUCGGGUGGACAGGGAGACAGGUGGUGCAUGGUUGUCGUCAGCUCGUGUCGUGAGAUGUUGGGUUAAGUCCCGCAACGAGCGCAACCCCUAUUGUUAGUUGCCAUCAUUCAGUUGGGCACUCUAGCGAGACUGCCGGUAAUAAACCGGAGGAAGGUGGGGAUGACGUCAAAUCAUCAUGCCCCUUAUGACCUGGGCUACACACGUGCUACAAUGGUUGGUACAACGAGUUGCGAGUCGGUGACGGCGAGCUAAUCUCUUAAAGCCAAUCUCAGUUCGGAUUGUAGGCUGCAACUCGCCUACAUGAAGUCGGAAUCGCUAGUAAUCGCGGAUCAGCACGCCGCGGUGAAUACGUUCCCGGGCCUU